GGUCGAGUAGCUCAACAGGUAGAGCAAGGGACUGAAAAUCCCUGUGUAGUGCGUUCAACCCGCACCUCGACCACCA
rnacentral:tRNA from 1 species